rnacentral:rRNA from 1 species
GACGAACGCUGGCGGCGUGCUUAACACAUGCAAGUCGAACGAAGAGCGAUGGAAGCUUGCUUCUAUCAAUCUUAGUGGCGAACGGGUGAGUAACGCGUAAUCAACCUGCCCUUCAGAGGGGGACAACAGUUGGAAACGACUGCUAAUACCGCAUACGAUCUAAUCUCGGCAUCGAGGAUAGAUGGAAGGUGGCCUCUACAUGUAAGCUAUCACUGAAGGAGGGGAUUGCGUCUGAUUAGCUAGUUGGAGGGGUAACGGCCCACCAAGGCGAUGAUCAGUAGCCGGUCUGAGAGGAUGAACGGCCACAUUGGGACUGAGACACGGCCCAGACUCCUACGGGAGGCAGCAGUGGGGAAUCUUCCGCAAUGGACGAAAGUCUGACGGAGCAACGCCGCGUGAGCGAUGACGGCCUUCGGGUUGUAAAGCUCUGUUAAUCGGGACGAAAGGCCUUCUUGCGAAUAGUGAGAAGGAUUGACGGUACCGGAAUAGAAAGCCACGGCUAACUACGUG